rnacentral:snRNA from 1 species
GCCUCUAUUCAGUGGCAGUAUCAUAGCCAAUGAGGUUAAUCCGAGGUACAAUUAUUGCUAAUUGAAAACUGUUCAACUCAUGACACUGGACUUUGGAGUGAGAAUGGGAUCAGUACUUGUUUUUCUCACAGGGAGAAAAGAGA